rnacentral:rRNA from 1 species
UAACGGCGAGUGAACCGGGAAGAGCUCAAAUUUGAAAUCUGGCGUCCUCAGGGCGUCCGAGUUGUAAUCUAUAGAGGCGUUUUCCGUGCCGGACCGUGUCCAAGUUCCUUGGAACAGGAUAUCAAAGAGGGUGACAAUCCCGUACUUGACACGACGACCGGUGCUCUGUGAUACGUCUUCUACGAGUCGAGUUGUUUGGGAAUGCAGCUCAAAAUGGGUGGUGAGUUCCAUCUAAAGCUAAAUAUUGGCGAGAGACCGAUAGCGAACAAGUACCGUGAGGGAAAGAUGAAAAGCACUUUGGAAAGAGAGUUAAACAGUACGUGAAAUUGUUGAAAGGGAAACGAUUGAAGUCAGUCGUGACCGAGAGGCUCAGCCGGCUCUGCCGGUGUAUUCCCCUCGGUCGGGUCAACAUCAGUUUUGUCCGGUGGAUAAGGGCGGUAGGAAGGUGGCACCCUCGGGUGUGUUAUAGCCUGCCGUCGCAUACAUCGGGUGAGACUGAGGAACGCAGCUCGCCUUUAUGGCCGGGGUUCGCCCACGUCCGAGCUUAGGAUGUUGACAUAAUGGCUUUAAACGACCCGUCUUGAA